ensembl:snRNA U6 U6 spliceosomal RNA
GUGCUCACUUUGGCAGCACAUACACUAAAACUGGAAUGAUACACAGAAGAUUAGCAUGGCCCCUGCACAAAGAUGACACACAAAUUCAUGAAGCAUUCCAUAUUUUU